CGCUUCCUGUUUCCGGUUUCCGGAGAGGAGCACCGCGAGGCGCAAGGCGGAACGCUGGCCGCUGACGCGAGCUCUGGGACCGGGUCCUGCAGCUGGCUGGCCCAGUCUCCCAGCCCCAGACAGACAUCCCUCGGGGGACCCUGAGCUUUGGCUCCUCCAUUUGCCGGCGCCACGCCAAGCCACGUUCAUUUCACUAGUGCCAUGUUCCCAGCACUGGGCCAGGCACACAGAGGCUUUCCAUGGACAUUUGUUGAAUGAAGGAUCUUUAAUAUCACAUAUAAGGAACAGCCAGCUUCAUUGUACUCUGUAGCCUAAACCACCGAAACCAACUCAUGUCUGCUACAUACAGGCUGAGAGACCAUGUGAUUACCCACGCUGUGCCUUGCACAGAGACAGGACACAGGAAUGUUUGUUGCACUG